AUCUGAGCUCCUUUUGUAGGGGCCGUUGCGGACCCUGAGGUCCUCUAGUACCGGCCUUUUGGUUGUUCCUAAAGUCAGGACUAAAA